rnacentral:rRNA from 1 species
GAUGAACGCUGGCGGCGUGCCUAAUACAUGCAAGUCGAGCGAACGGACGAGAAGCUUGCUUCUCUGAUGUUAGCGGCGGACGGGUGAGUAACACGUGGAUAACCUACCUAUAAGACUGGGAUAACUUCGGGAAACCGUAGCUAAUACCGGAUAAUAUUUUGAACCGCAUGGUUCAAAAGUGAAAGACGGUCUUGCUGUCACUUAUAGAUGGAUCCGCGCUGCAUUAGCUAGUUGGUAAGGUAACGGCUUACCAAGGCAACGAUGCAUAGCCGACCUGAGAGGGGGGUGGCCCACAGGGGAAAGGGACCACGGUCCAGACGCCGAGGGGGGGAGACAGAGGGGAUCUUGCGAGAAUGGGCGAAAGCCGGACGGAACAACGCGGCGUGAGGGAGGAAGGUGUUCGGAUCGUAAAACUUUUUAAUGAGGAAAGAAAAUAUGUGUAAUUACUUGCGCACAUCUGGACGGUACCUAAUAAGAAAGCCCCGGCUAACUCCGUG